GUGGCAGGUUGGGCUUCAGGUGGAUGAUGAGCUAGACGACGUGAUGGCGCCGUCGUCGAAUGCGGUGCCCAGAACAACCCGAGAGGCCGACGUUGGCGACGACCAUGAGGUCCCCCUGCUUGACGAUGGACAGCGCGAAGCAGCCGUUCUGCACCACGUCCAAGCGACAGCUGCGCCGGAGCUUGUCGUACAUAGCAGCACAUGCGACCAUGUAGGACUGUUUCUAAAGGUCGAACUAGUAGUCGCCAAGUUUUUUCUUGUCGUCGAUGAGCGACCCCAACGCGAGUGUCUCCUGCUAAUGGUGUUUGUUCUGGGUUUUCAAGUAAGAAACAUGGAUUUAUGUGUGGCGUUGGUUUAUAAAAAUGACUCACAAGUCAGAUCCAUGGAAAAAAUAUUACAAAGAAUAAAUGUCACGCAUGC
rnacentral:misc_RNA from 1 species